AACUAUGUCUCAAAAGGCCCCUCACCAGGUCUGACAAUCUUGAGCUGACAAGUGCAAUGCAUGCAAUGCGUGCUAGCGAUCGUGUCUGCCAAGUAUUAUAUCCCUAUGCACUG
rnacentral:lncRNA from 1 species